GAAUGGCACACCAUAUUUUUCAAUCCUUCAUUCGGCCAUUUUCACACGCCGCGCCGUUAGCCUGUUUGAGCUGUUCGUGGAAGUUGCAGAGGAUGUACUCAUCGCAUUUCAACGAUGAUAUAAUAUGUACAGCAAAAAUUGAUGGCAAGGGUGACAUGAAUCAGAUUGACAAGAAUCCAUAUUCCUACUCCUCAAUAAUGCUAUCAUCACUGCCAUCAGAUUCAUCAAUGAUAGUGGCAUCAGUGACACAUGAGGAUAAGUGUUGGACAUCACUGCAGGAAUAGAUUCCUUGUUGUGCCUGUCAAUAGCAAGGUACCAGAUUAUACAGCAGUUAUGUGGAAACAUAUUCCCUCAAUAGGGGGACCAGAUUGACACCUACAUUGUACAGUAUCAGGCAGUUAUAUCAAAACUGGAAAAACUGGAUCCAAACAAGACUAUAUUGCUUGGAAGAAACAUGUCGACUCUGAAGUUUAACCCUUAUUAACCCAUGGCACUUCCAGAGACAUCCUGAUACCAUGGUUCUAUGUCAUUUGAAAUAUACCUGUGGAGGUUUUUAAAGUGGUUUUUUUUUGGGGGGGGGGGGGGGGGUGUUAUUAAUUGGAAGAAUUCAUAUUUGAUGAUUCAAAUGAAAAUCUGCAUGUUGAAUUAUGAAUGUCAUAAUGUACUUUUUGAAUGAGUUCAAGAAUGGUUGUCCUGAUGAAAAGUGUAGAGUCAAAAGUUAUCAAAUUGUCAAAAACACUGGUCAGGUCUGAAUUCAUCAUCUUGGACACCUUGCAGUUGGAAUUAUGAUCUCUAUGAAGAAAUGCUGAAAAUCUUGCAAAAGAGGAAAUGACAAGUUGGGGUCCAAGGCACUUGCAUAUAUGCAUGAGAAGGUGUUCUAUCCAGGCUUGAGGUCAAUUACAUAGUAAUGUAACGCCUUACAUUACCUGGAAAAUUUCGCAUUACCAUUACUCCUAUUUUAAAAUAUAAUGUAUUACAUUACUUGAGAGUGAAUUUACAUUACACAUUUACAUAACAUACUGUCAGAUAUUAAAGAAAUGGCAGAAAAAUUAUUUCUGUAUUAUGAUUUUUAAUUAUACAUUAACAUAAGUACACAAAAUAUUCAGCAAUGUUAGGAAACAUAUCUAUUAAGUUAUUCAUUGCAUUUGAUUGUCAUCAAUGUUUCAAAUGCUUCAGUCAAUUACUAAUAAAAUGAAUUAUUCUAAAUCUUCAAAAUAUCAUCAAAUAUUUGAAGUAGUGUAAAUGUAAUGAAAAAUAAUGUGCAGUACAGUAUGCAUUACAUUACCAUUACUUGUAAUGCAAAAAUGGUCCAUUACACCCCCAUUACAUUGAAUUGGCUGUCAUUUAAUUACCAUUACCCCAGCCCUGGUUCUGUCGAGAGGUAUUGAAAUUGUCUGUAGAGACUUUGUCUCAGGAAGUGACCGAGAUUGGUGGUGACAAUUUUGUUGGAUGUAACUUACUGAUACACAUGUCUACACUUGCUACACAAUAUAGCAUGUGGUGGUUUCAACAAGAAAGUUCUUACUCUGCAGGAAAUGACGAAUAGCUAAUGGAUUCACAUUUUUUCUGACUUUUCUUCUGUACAUUAGAUGCAUUGGAAAAACUUUCCUUUCCAUUAUCUUUUGCUGGUUCAUACUUUGAAAUAAAAUCAAGUCCGAAAAUAAAGUAUUUUGGUUUGUUUUUUUUCAAUGAAUUUUAAAAAAUGUAAUCUGUAAUCCUUGCAUAUUUUCUUGGUGUCUCAUAGGCCUAUUGAUUUUUAUUUGUAUUCAGGUAUAAUUUCAUCUUCAGUGUCUUGGAAGAAAUUAAUUUUUCAAUAACGCCAAGAAAAGUGUAGUUAACAGUAUGAUUUUAAUUUUUAAAAAAAUAAUAUUGACACGGGUAGGAAGUGAACCCGGAUCUCCCGAUUGAAGGACGGGCUCUCUACCACUAAGCCACGACGUCUAUGACGUCACUUGCUCAAAAAUCCUUCAUAUAUUUACUUGCCCCAGUGAACGUUAUACUCUCGAUAUAUCGACAAUAGUUUUAGUUAUAUCAAUGCAUGUUCUAUAAAUUCUUUUCAUUUUGAUCUUAGUAAUUCUGUUGGUGUCGUCUAAAUAAAAACUUUCUAUAGCAUUGAAGAUCCGAUUUGUCGGACGGCAGAUUCGUUUGUUUACGCAUCAAAAUUCUAUAGCUUUUAGAAUUCCUGCACAAACUUGUGAUAAAAACACCACAUAGGGGUGUAUUCUGCAUGGGAAUGAUGUAGACUCCACAUAAGUAUAUUGUUUUAAUUUUUCAAAGCAACAUAAUUAAUAAAAUACCCACAACUCUCACAAAAAUAAAUAAUUCUGGAUUGCUCUCGAUUUAAUUCAAAGUUGAUAUUCAUCAACAGCACACCUUUCGAUCCAAAAAAUCGUUCGUACAAAAUUUAUUUGUAUUGAUAGAUUUUGAUAGACUACAGUCAGUUUCUGGAUCGAAGGUCGUGUUUUAUAUGAAUUAUAUGACUAAAUUUGAAAAAAGUGGAGAUUUCUGCAGAAAACCAGACCGAUACCGGUUUUGUCUUGUAUAGAAUUUCACAAGCUGACGUUUUGGCGGGGAAAUCUUGGCACGUCGCGAUGGUAUAAAGAUUAUAUUAUCAAAUGAUACCAAUUUUAUUUCAAUUCAUUCUGCUUUAUUUUUUAACACACCACAGGGCCGAUAUAGCUAAACAUGGUCUUAGUUCUUUGAAUCUGCAUUAUGUCAGGAAGCUUUCAUGUAAAUCUCAGCUUUUCUGGCUCAGUGGUUCUUGUGAAGAAGAUUUUUAAAGAUUUUUCCUAUAUUUUACAUGUAAAACUUUGAUUCCCUAUGGUGGCCCCAUCCAACCCCCGGGGGCCAUGAUUUGAACAAACUUGAAUCUGCAUUAUGUCAGGAAGUUUUCAUGUAAAUAUCAGCUUUUCUGGCUCAGUGGUUCUUGAGAAGAAGAUUUUUAAAGAGUUAUCCUAUAUAUUAGUAUGUAAAACUUUGAUCCCCUAUUGUGGCCCCAUCCAACACCAGGGGGCCAUGAUUUGAACAAACUUGAUUCUGCACUAUGUCAGGAAGCUUUCAUGUAAAUUUCAGCUUUUCUGGUCCAGUGGUUCUUGAGAAGAUUUUUAAAUGACGCACCCACCCUAUUUUUGCAUUGUUGUGAUUAUCUCCCCUUUGAAACUUUCAAAGGGACAUGCCCCUUCAUUUGAACAAACUUGAAAGCCCUUCACCUUUACCCAAGAAUGCUUUGUGUAAAUUUGGUUGAAAUUGGCCCAGUAAUUCUUGAGAAAAAGUCAAAAAUGUGAAAAGUUUACGACACCGACGACAAACAAUGGACAAAUUUUGAUUAGAAAAGCUCACUUGAGCCUUUGGCUCAGGUGAGCUAAAAUGAUCAAAUUUGCAUUGUUCACAACAGGAUUAGUGGAAACUAUAUAUUGGAUUUGGCUAAUUUAAAACUGUUAAUAUUGUACUGUUUUUUGCAUCUCUAAAGCUAAAUUCAUUCUUAGAAUAAUUCAGUUAUAGCUCAAGUAUCACAAUGCUUGCUGUAUGGCUGGGGUAUUAAUUAGUUCUGUCCUACAUUCAUAAGGAAGAAAAUAGAACAUCUGGAAUAGGGACAUAAGGAAGAAAAUAGAACAUCUGGAAUAGGGACAUUAUAUGUUCCCACCUGCUGAGAUAGUAUUCACAAGAACACCAGACCAUAUAAACCAUGCUGGACAAAGUAUGUGCAUGACAUAGUAUCAUGUUAAUUAGAUAACAGGGCUUGAAGCUAACUUUUUAUGUCACCAGUCCAGCCGGACUGAUGGGUAUAACUUCAACCAGUCCACAGAAAAAAUUACCAGUCCAACAGAGUUUUCCAGAAAAAACAAGAGGUACUGUGAGCAAUGCUCACUAAGAAUACCCCCCGCUUACCCCAAUCUCCCAAAGGGUGUUGGUAAUAGGUAUAAACUACCUCUUUUCUGAGUGUAAAAAACAAAUGGCAUGACAAACCGAACCAUAUUGCUACUUCGAUGUUCAGUGCGCUUGACCUUUGACCUUUUGACCCCAAAAUCGAAAGGGAACAUCUUCAUCCCAUGGGUAGUUUAUAUAUAUGAUAUGGUGACUGUAGGUGGAAAGGAUAAUGCUUUAGAGCCCGGAAACCAUAUUACUACUUCGAUGUCCAGUGCACUUGACCUUUGACCUUUUGACCCCAAAAUCGAAAGGGAACAUCUUCAUCCCAUGGGUAGUUUAUAUAUAUGAUAUGGUGACGGUAGGUGGAAAGGAUAAUGCUUUAGAGCCCGGAAACCAUUGCGUCUACAGACGGACGGAUAGAC